UGGGGAAUAUUGGACAAUGGGGGCAACCCUGAUCCAGCAAUGCCGCGUGUGUGAAGAAGGUUUUCGGAUUGUAAAGCACUUUCGACGGGGACGAUGAUGACGGUACCCGUAGAAGAAGCCCCGGCUAACUUCGUGCCAGCAGCCGCGGUAAUACGAAGGGGGCUAGCGUUGCUCGGAAUGACUGGGCGUAAAGGGCGUGUAGGCGGUUUGUACAGUCAGAUGUGAAAUCCCCGGGCUU
rnacentral:rRNA from 1 species